CUGUUGUAUUUGAGUGUUUCUCCAGUACUGGUUACAACUAGGUGUUGGUUCACUAAAAAGUCCGUAUUUCAUAAGAUUGUUAUUCAAAUGUGACAAUUUGCAUUACAUUGCAUUAAGAAAUGGUUAAUCUAUAAAUUUUGAUAUUUUGAGCUCAUAAGGUGCUAGGGAAAUAUUGAAAUUGUAAAAAAUGUGUGAAAUUACUACCCAAAAUGGCAGCUUUUGAUGUAACACGGAACACCAUGGUAUGAUUGAAUUAAUAUCGUACUAAAACCAAGGGGCAUAAAACUUCCAUCUUUGUUGGAAUAUGUUAACAAGAUCCUCAUAUUUCAAUGUCAUUAUUUAGUUUUUCUCAAGGUUAUCAAAAUAUUGAUUAAACACGGCCACAAAAAGGCGUUUGAGGCGCAUCGCGAUGUGUCCCACUUUAUACGGAAUUACAAUCCUCUAUGAAUUGUAAACAAGAAAUAAAUAAUACGCUCAACAUUGCAUUUCUGUUACAACAAGCAUUAAAGAUUUCUUUUAAAGUAUUUUUUUUGUUAAAAGCUUUCUAAACAUGCAUAACGAGCUUAAAAUAGGUCGAGGUGUCCCAGAUGAAGCGCCUGUGCUGCGUGUGUUAAGAAUGGGAUUAUUUUUCCCACAACACUACUUUUUAUGAAUGAGAGUUCUUUUGAGCAUCACAGGUAUUGUGUAGAACAAAAAAAGUGCCGCUUCCGCUGGAAAUACUAGCGUAGUAAUUAACAGGAGUACGUAAACAAUAGCGUGUCCCACAAUUAACCAUUGAUGCGCCUCAAGCGUCGACACGAUCAAUCGCCGGCAAUCUUGCACAAAAACCUCAUUUAAUCUGUUUUUUGUGAUCUUUUGUGAAUCAACAACCCAUCAGGUACGUAGAUAUUUCAUUAUUCUACUGAAAUUUAAGCUUAUUACAAAUAAGUUUGAUUGCAAUAUCCAAAUCGAAGUGCUUUUUUUAUUACGAGGUUACUAAAUUUAACCAUUCAAUCAUGACGUCACGUGAAGCGUCUUGAACACAAUUUAGUCUUAAAUCGUAAAGUUAAUCAAUUUUAAAGCCUGUUACUAAACAAAAAGUUUAUAUUUCUAAAACAAUUAUGUUGAUGUAAUAGUAGACGUGUGUAGCGAUUUAAAAUAAUUAAUUUGUUUUUAUUUUGAGAAGUAAAUUGGAUUAGGCGUUGAGGCGCUCCUUGGGACCCCGUGCUGGUGUUUUCCAUGCAUAAAUUAUGGCGUCACAUGUAGCGUCUAAUGCGAGUUCAGGAUUUGUUACGUUUUCUGUAUUCAUGGAAGUUUUAAUUAAGAUUAAAUGAUUUUAAUAUAUGUAAUAAACUAUUUUCAUAAUUAAUCAUUUUAAAUGAACAUUUUUUGACAUCUUUUAUUUUAUAUUUUUUGUAAUUUUACUUUACAUCGUUUGGGGCGUUUCAGUGGACACUACUCCGUUUGUUUACAAAUGGUGUCCUAGUUUGCGUCUGUUAAGUCCAAAUAGAUUUUAGUGAUAGUUUGUUAAAGAUUUUACAGUGUCAGAUAAUAUUAGCUACAUCUAAAAGAAAUAAAGCGGUACUGUUUAAGAAAUAUUAAAUAAUUAAAAUUUACUUAUUACUGUAAAUAAGAUUUAGAACUAUUAGAUCUUUCGUUUGAGGCGCAUCUCGGACACUUGUCUUUAAAACUUUAAAGAGCUUAACUCUAGAUCUAGAAAUCUAGACUGAUUAGACCUCUAGACCUAAAUCUAGAUUUACUCUAGAUCUAGAUCUAAUUAUGUAAUUCAUUAUCUAGAUUUACUCUAGAUCUAGACCUAGAUCUAGAUCUAAUUAUGUAAUUCAUUAUAUUAUAGCUAGAUUUACUCUUGAGUCUUGAUCUAGAGUAGAGUAGAAUAGUCUAGUCAGUCUAGAUCUAAUUCAAUAUCUAGAUUUAGAUCUAAACUAGAUUAUUAGAUUAGAAAUCAUUAGAUCUUUUAUGAAUCUAGACUAGUGACUCUAGACUAGAUCAUUUAUGACUAGAUUAGAAUCUAAUUUUAGAUUUAAUAAUAUAUUUUUCUUUAAAUUGACCAGUAUCUAGAAAAAUAUCUAGAGACUAGAUCUAUAAUCUAUAUUAUAGACCUAUUCUAUAUUAAAAUGUAGAUAGUAUCUAAAACAAAGUUUGGUUUAACCUGCACUUAAUUUCCAUUGUAUUGUUUAUACAGUAUAUUCAAUUAUAUUGUAUUCAGUUCUUUCAGUCUACCACUGAAUGAUUAUAACUUAAGUUAAUAUAAUUAACAGUACUAGUCCUAUACUAUUGAUUGAGUCUAUCCCUAUCAAGCAAUUAUGGGCAUUACUAGACUAGAUUUAAAUAAUGCACCAAUAUAUAAUAUAUUAUAUGUUUAUGAAAUUUAUUAGUAGGCCUAUAUUAUAUAUAAUAGAUCUAUUUAUUUAGAUACUUAUACAUUUUUUAUAAAUUACAGAUUUCAGUAAUGGAGUAUCUGUUAGAGUUUCAAGGCGUCUACAAGCCAAGAAAGACUCUAAAUUUACAAGCAUCAAAGCCUGAGUCUCUAACACGUGUUGCUGUUUUAGAGCAGAGAGAAAAGGAAAGGUUGAGAAAAGCUGCAUACAGGGCCUAGUUAAGCCCACAUGAAAAAGCUUGGAUAAACAGAAAACGCAAAGAAAGAAAACAGCAAGCUAAUAGUCCACUUAAUGUCAUCUCAGCAGAGGUUGGUGAAUCACUAGGUACUGGAUUCCAGACUCCAGUGGCAAAAAGAAUAAAGAAGGAUCUUUUAAUGACCUAGUGAGAGGUAUUACACCUAACACUAUUGCUUACAGAAAUAGAAGCUGUUUCUGCUAUCCAUACAGAAAUUCAUAUGGCAGUCAGUGCCUGCAUGAUGAAACAUGUGGCUCUUGGAAGGUGUUCAAACUUCAGAAACAAAAUGUAGUGCAAUCUCAGUCAAAUCUUGAAGACUCUUUGGAUGUCAGUCCCAUAUGCUCAAAUUCAAAGGCCCAAACAAUUUUCUUCACUCAUCAAAAGUACAUUGUAAAUAGCUGUGUGAUUGUCAAGUAUGGGGAAAUAUUCUAUCCAGGAGUUGUGAUAGAAGUCCUGGAUGAUCAGCGCAGAAAUAAUUUUUUAAAAAGGCACAGAAAUUAAAGAAAUAUAUAAAUAUAUAUAUCCAGAAGUGCAGGACAUACAGUUAGUGUAUGCAGACAUGAUUGUUACUGAAGUGAUGUUGAUACCAAUGGCAAUAGUUUGAGAGUGGAAUGUUUUGAUUUCUGAAUUUGUCAAAUAAAAUUUGUGUACAGUU